rnacentral:rRNA from 1 species
UAGGGAAUCUUCCGCAAUGGACGAAAGUCUGACGGAGCAACGCCGCGUGAGUGAAGAAGGAUUUCGGUUCGUAAAACUCUGUUGUUAGGGAAGAAAAAAUGUAUAGUAACUAUAUACAAAAGAGACGGUACCUAACCAGAAAGCCACGGCUAACUACGUGCCAGCAGCCGCGGUAAUACGUAGGUGGCAAGCGUUGUCCGGAAUUAUUGGGCGUAAAGCGCGCGCAGGUGGUUUAGAAAGUCUGAUGUGAAAGCCCACGGCUCAACCGUGGAGGGUCAUUGGAAACUAAUAAACUUGAGUGCAGGAGAGAAAAGUGGAAUUCCUAGUGUAGCGGUGAAAUGCGUAGAGAUUAGGAGGAACACCGGUGGCGAAAGCGGCUUUUUGGCCUACAACUGACACUGAGGCGCGAAAGCGUGGGGAGCAAACAGG